UACGUAGGGGGCAAGCGUUGUCCGGAGUUACUGGGCGUAAAGGGCAUGCAGGCGGUGCGACGCGUUUUGGGUGACAGCGGGUGGCUCAACUACCCGAGCAUGCAAAAGACGGUUGCACUUGAGGGCCAGAGAGGGACACGGAAUUCCGGGUGGAGUGGUGAAAUGCGUAGAGAUCCGGAGGAACACCGAAGGCGCAGGCAGUGUCCUGGCUGGUUCCUGACGCUCAGGUGCGAAAGCCAGGGGAGCGAAC
rnacentral:rRNA from 1 species